AUUAGACUGGCGGAUUCGUUAAGGUCUAGAAAAACCUUCUAUACACACUUUGUUUUCUUAUUAGAGACAAUUUUGCUUUGGUCAGCUACUGCGUAAAACCAGUUGGCAGGCCAGAGGUUUUCAAACAAAACUCUUUGACUCUUUGGAGUCUUAGCGAAUUAUAAACUUUAGUCAUUAAUUAUUUGACGAGAAGAAAUUCUCUGAAACAAAAAUUAAAACUUUCAACAACGGAUCUCUUGGUUCUCGCAUCGAUGAAGAACGCAGCGAAAUGCGAUACGUAAUGUGAAUUGCAGAUUUUCGUGAAUCAUUGAAUCUUUGAACGCACAUUGCGCCCUCUGGUAUUCCAGAGGGCAUGCCUGUUUGAGCGUCAUUUCCCUCUCAAACCCUUGGGUUUGGUGAUGGGUGAUACUUCUCUUUACCGGGAAGUUCACUUGAAAUGGAUCGGCAUGAGUUUUUGUUAAACGUCUUGAUUGUUUAUUCAAUGUAUUAGGUUUUACCAUCGUUGAUUGACGGUCGUGGUGUAUUUCAAAGUAUAGGCUCUGCUUGACAAACUUAUAUCAUAAAGUUUGACCUCAAAUCAGGUAGGAUUACCCGCUGAACUUAAGCAUAUCAAU
rnacentral:rRNA from 1 species